rnacentral:tRNA from 1 species
UAUAUUUUAGUGUAUGAUGCACAUAAGUUUUUGAUACUUAUAGCAUUGGUUUAAUUCCAUUAAAUAUAA